rnacentral:misc_RNA from 1 species
GAUGAGAACGUAGCGAAAUGCGAUAAGUAAUGUGAAUUGCAGAAUUCAGUGAAUCAUCGAAUCUUUGAACGCACAUUGCGCCCGUCAGUAUUCUGGCGGGCAUGCCUGUUCGAGCGUCAUUACGCCCCUCAAGUCCCCUGUGGACUUGGUGUUGGGGAUCGGCGAGGCUGGUUUUCCAGCACAGCCGUCCCUUAAAUUAAUUGGCGGUCUCGCCGUGGCCCUCCUCCGCGCAGUAGUAAAACACUCGCAACAGGAGCCCGGCGCGGUCCACUGCCGUAAAACCCCCCAACUUUUUAUAGUUGACCUCGAAUCAGGUAGGACUACCCGCUGAACUUAAGCAUAUCAAUAAGCGGAGGA